rnacentral:rRNA from 1 species
GAUGAACGCUAGCGAUAGGCCUAACACAUGCAAGUCGAGGGGCAUCACAUGAAGUAGCAAUACGGAUGGUGGCGACCGGCGCACGGGUGAGUAACACGUAUGCAACCUGCCUUCAACAAGGGGAUAACCCGUUGAAAGACGGACUAAUACCCUAUAACACAGGGGUCCCGCAUGGGAAUAUUUGUUAAAGGACAACCGGUUGAAGAUGGGCAUGCGUUCCAUUAGCUAGUUGGCGGGUAACGGCCCACCAAGGCAACGAUGGAUAGGGGAACUGAGAGGUUUAUCCCCCACACUGGUACUGAGACACGGACCAGACUCCUACGGGAGGCAGCAGUGAGGGAUAUUGGUCAAUGGACGCAAGUCUGAACCAGCCACGUCGCGUGAAGGAAGACGGCCCUACGGGUUGUAAACUUCUUUUGUAAGGGAAUAAAGUGGGCCACGUGUGGCUUUUUGCAUGUACCUUACGAAUAAGGAUCGGCUAACUCCGUGCCAGCAGCCGCGGUAAGUACUGA